rnacentral:rRNA from 1 species
ACCAGACUCCUACGGGAGGCAGCAGUGGGGAAUAUUGCACAAUGGGGGAAACCCUGAUGCAGCGACGCCGCGUGAGUGAAGAAGUAUUUCGGUAUGUAAAGCUCUAUCAGCAGGAACGAGACAAGACGGUACCUGACUAAGAAGCCCCGGCUAACUACGUGCCAGCAGCCGCGGUAAUACGUAGGGGGCAAGCGUUAUCCGGAAUCACUGGGUGUAAAGGGAGCGUAGACGGCUGUGCAAGCCUGAAGUGAAAGGCGGGGGCCCAACCCCUGGACUGCUUUGGGAACUGUACGGCUGGAGUGCAGGAGAGGUAAGUGGAAUUCCUAGUGUAGCGGUGAAAUGCGUAGAUAUUAGGAGGAACACCAGUGGCGAAGGCGGCUUACUGGACUGUAACUGACGUUGAGGCUCGAAAGCGUGGGGAGCAAACAGGAUUAGAUACCCAUGUA